rnacentral:rRNA from 1 species
CCUACGGGAGACAGCAGUGAGGAAUAUUGGUCAAUGGACGAGAGCCUGAACCAGCAAAGUAGCGUGAAGGAUGACUGCUCUAUGGGUUUUAAACUUCUUUUAUAUGGGAAUAAAAUGUUCCACGUGUGGGAAUUUGUCCGUAUCAUAUGAAUAACGAUCGGCCAACUACGUGCCAGCAGCCGCGGUAAUACGGAGGGUCCGAGCGUUAUACGGAUUUAUUGGGUUUAAAGGGAGCGUAGGUGGAUUGAUAAGUCAGGUGUGAAAGUGUGGGGCUCAAACGUAGAACUGCAGUUGAAACUGGUGGUCUUGAGUACAGGAGAGGUAGGCGGAAUUCGUGGUGUAGCGGUGAAAUGCUUAGAUAUCAGGAGGAACUCCGGUGGCGAAGGCGGCCCGCUGGACUGCAACUGACGGUGAGGCUCGAAAGUGUGGGUAGCAAACAGGAUUAGAUACCCGAGUAGUC